GGCCGGGGCCUUCUUGGCCACAGGCCGGGUGCUCUGUGGGGCCUACCCUACGCCUCUCCGCCGUCCUCCCCCGAACUGGUGGUUACGCGGGCCGCGAGUUACCGUGAGCACGGCUGGGAUGCUGACGGGGAAAGAGCUGACAGAGAAGGCGGACGGCAUGGUGUUGGGAAGCCCGCUCUCACAGCAACCGCCGAACCCGGCCUGGCCAGAAUCCACAGAGGAGGGCGCCAAAUCCUCUCUCGUGAGAUCUGCCCUUCUCACGAAACUUGCGCUUGCUUCCUCUCGCGGUCAGUUCAGCCUGUUACUGUGUAUCUCCCUGAUGAUAUUUCGUUACUAUGUGAAACAUCACUCUUAUUAAUUUCCAUGGGUCCCAGCAGGCAGCUGAUUGUUUAGAUGGAGAGACCACAGGGGAGAGUUACCUGUUGCUGUGGGAGCAAUGAGGAGUUAUGGAGGAAAGGAGAGGUACCAAGACCAGGUGAGGACUGAACAUUAGACUUCCCAUGAUUGCAGAACUGUCCUUCGCUGCAGCUGUAAAAUCGCGGCAAGGCAGGAUUCAUCCUGGUGGUGGGUGCAGGCCCUGAUUCCCGUCACUGAGCAGGGAUACAGCAGGAAGCUCCACCUCUGAGCACAGCAAGGGGAUUGUUCUGAUUCUGAGUGUGUCUGUUUGCUAGAGCGGUGGCCACACUUCCCCGGUUCUGCAAUUGUGGAUAAUUUAGCAUGACUUGUUGGGCAUUGCAAAUAUCAUGUCGUGGAGAGUCUGGGCUCUGUUAUUUUUUCCAGCUGUGUGUGUGUGUGUGUGUGUGUGUGUGUGUGCAUGCACGCGCACGCGUGUGUGUGAUGAGACCAUUAAGUUGGUUUGACAGACUGCAAACUGCCUGUUGAACAGCAGCUGAAUUCUUAAUUUGGUUCUUUUAUCCUUCUUGUGUUUCGUGGAGUUUGCCUCACACAUUCAGCGUUCGGAUGUCAACUGGAGUUCUGGAUGGAAGUUAUACACAGAAUUUGGGGUUCUCCAUCUCUGAUUCUCUCCUUCCUUCUCAAUUUUUAGCAGGCAUAUUCCCAAUUUCUUCAGGAGGGAAAGACCAAGGGUUUCCUGUUGGUGUUUUGGCAACUCCGCAUGGCAUGGCGUCAGACUCACCCUAAGCUAAAAACCAUAAAAGCCCUCUUUCCCUUUGUUUCUUCCACACAUCACACUCCCCUCCCAUAAUCCAUGCUUUUCAUCUCCACUCACUUUUUAUAUUUGCUCAUUGUCUAGAUAUUCCCUGCAGGAGAGUGACAUUAGACGGGCUCACUUGGCCACCAUGGGAAGCAGAAAUCCAGAGAUGGACACAUUCCCUAAAUGCUUCUAUGCUGCCCUGUAGGAGAGGUGUUACUCUACUCACAUUGCCGUGAGGAAACUGAGGCUCAGAAGUAGCAUCCUUUGUCUGAAAGGACAUAGCUCGUGAGCGCUGGAAGCAUAGUUUGGUGUCUGACUUGGCCAAUUCCAAAGCUUGUGUGAUUUGCACCAGCACUCAGAUGCAUUCUUCCCUCUCCCUCCCUACCCAAGAAAAAUGCUAUCCCUCCCUUUUCCUCUAAUUAGAAAAUUCUUUUGUAUAGUAGGAGAUUAUUAGGAAAUAAUCAUUUCUCUCCAAAAGUAACACACUGAGGAGGCAGUAUCUGAGGGUUUUGCCCAAAUAUGGCCUUUCAACCUCUGAAUUCAUGCCUACAGAAAUUCCAAGAUGUUUGUCAUAGCAUUUUUAUUCUAACCCUCCUUAAUGAGUGAUACAGUUUGCCUGUGUCCCCACCCAAAUCUCAUCUUGAAUUGUAGCUCCCAUAAUCCCCAUGUGUCAUGGGAGGGACCCCAUGGGUGGUAGUUUAUUCAUGGGGGCAGUUACCCUCAUGCUGUUUUGCUAAUAGUGAGUGAGUUCUCAUGAGAUCUGAUGGUUUUAUAAGGGGCUUUUCCCCCUUUUGCUGGGCACUUCUCCUUGCUGCCGCCACGUGAAGAAGGAUGUGUUUGCUUCCCCUUCUGCCAUGAUUGUAAGUUUCCUUCAUAGUCAGAAAGGAAUUGCCUGGCUUCAGAUGAGACUUUGGACUUGGAAUUCUGAGUUCAUGAUGGAAUUAGUUAAGAUUUUGGGGGACUGUUGGGAAAGCAUGGUUGAUUUUGCAAUGUGAGGACAUGUGAUUUGAGAGGGGGCAGGGUUGGAACCAAAUCCCUGAUGGCUGGUGUGGCCAGGCAUGUAGUGGAGGCUGGCCCUGGAGAGAAGAGGAACAGAAACUGAUUUUAAUCUCAAGGGGCUGAAGCUGGAGCUCCACAUGUGACCCCCAGAAGCACGGGACCCCAUCCGGGACGCCGCUGUGCAUGCAGCUGUCACAUCUCCCUGGACCCCCCUCUGCUGGCAGUUUCUCAGAUUUUCCUUGUUUUCGAUGACUGGGAUAGUUUUGAAGAGUAAUGGUCAGGCAUGCUGUAGAAUUUCUCUCAGUUGGGGUUUUUCUGAUGAUCUGAUUGGGAUUAUGGAAUUUGGGGAAGAAGACCAUAGAAGUAAAGUGCUAUUUUUAUUAC
rnacentral:lncRNA from 1 species